CGCCGCGCGGCGCCCGGCCCGGGGCACCGGCGGUCCCGUCCUGCCUGACACGGCUUAGUCCCUCUAAUCGGCUCCGAGGCUGAUUGCGGCGAAGCAUCCAAACCAAGGGAAAGUUAGUUUGUUGUAAUUACGAGAGAAAUAACCCAUCUGGGCUUCCGUUUUUCACUCUCCCUUGCCCCAGCGUGCCGCUGGUGAGGGUGACAGUGUGGCAGGAGGAGGCGCAGCAGCGCUGGGAACUUGCUGCUUUCACCUUCCUGUGCUUUCAUUUUAUUUCAUUUUGUUUUUAAAAGCAUGAAGCAAGUGAAGCGACAAGAGGAAUCCAUUAUGCAAAUCAGGUCACAUUUGCAUAAUGUCUCAUGACUGGAAUAUGCAAAUGAGUUGUAUAAUUUAUGAGUGCCAGUGUCUGUCUAAAAGUGUUUCCCAGAAUUUAUAAAAACUGCAGCAUGGAGAGGCAGCUGCUGGCUGCCCUGCCAGGAGGGUCCACACUCGCUUUGCAAAGUCCGCUUGAGUCUGGGAGUGCAAACGUCUGGGAAUGAGAACGGAGCCCCCCUUCCCACCCUGUCCUCUUGCUUUAUUUAUUUCUCAUUACUCCCUCCACCAAGCUCCCCACCUGCUCCCCUUGAACUUCUCUGAGGAUGCAGGGCUUGGGCCAGGGCACCGGGCUGGAUGGCUGGGCGGCUGGGCAGUCCCACAGGUGGCUCAGUCUGGGCUUGCUCGUGUCCCUUGGGGCUGUCACCAGACGCAGAGCCCUGCACUCUUCAGGUAAGUGAGCUCAUAGGCACGAUGUGCCCUGAGGAGCCGCUUGGAGCCCCUCACGACUCCCACAGUGGGAUUCCUGCUGGUUUGCUCUGCGCCAGGUCCAGUCCCUGCGCGGCUUUGAGCCCCAUGACCCUGGGGAGAGCUGCAGGGCUGUCACUGCCCACGGAGGGACCCCGAGUGUCCUGUCCAACGCCACAGCGUUUGGUGCCAGCACUGGAAAGGUCUCUGGAAUAUCCGGACAUUCAGGACAGGUGCCAGGCGAGGACGGCUUCACAGGAGCACUCAUCCUGGCCAAGGCUGGGAGGAGAGCCACAGCCAUCAGAGAGAACUGGGUUACAGCAGACAUUACAUCCUCGGGGGCUCGCCUGCCUUGUGCGAGUGUGGUGCCAAUGCCCCUGCAGUGCCACAGGGCUGGCUGUGGCUUCCUUCAGCUGGAUGCUCAAGAGCAGAGGAUCUAUCAACUGCAGACCAAGCGGAGGGAGAGGCAGGCAGACCUGGAGCAGAAAUGAAGCCAGAGAAGCAGCUCAGCCAGGACCUGGGGGCCAGCCACCAGCUACGGAAAGGAGCUUGGAGCAGCAUAAGGAAGGGCUGAAGAUGUGAGAGUAGAGUCUGUCACCUCCCAGUGAGGAGGGGAAGAUGGAGGCAGCAGGGAGAUGGCUACAGCUCUGCUGGCUGUGAAUGGGUGGUGGGAUUGCAGUUGCUGUGGGGGUGUGAUGGCUGUCAUGCACAGAUGUUGUGAGUGCUGCUCUGCUGCUGACCUUGGAGAGACAAGAAGAGGAUGACCACAAAAAUAUUGCCUCAGGGCAGAGCUGUCCUGGCUAGUGGUGACAUUUACAUGCUUUGAGCCAAGAGAUUAGGAUUGCUCAGACCUGUUCAGCCAUGCUGCUGUGGACAAAAGCCUCAGCUUGCUCCUGGACAUCAGGGUGGGAGCACCCUUGUUCCUGCUGGAGGCCUGCUGGGCAGCCUAUGCCAGUCUACGCCAUGCUGGAUCUGUUUGCCCCUGCCCCGCCACCGACCCCUGUAUUUCAGAAACUGUAGAAGUCAGACCCUUUGCUCAGUGUGCUCCCCUGUGUGUGAGCCUGGCUUGGAAAAGCACAUUGCUCCCACCUCUGCAGACAUCAGGCUGUCUGCCUGAUGUCUGCUCAGGCACCAGCAUUCCUCAGUGGACUCCAACUACAAGGUCUCCUUUGGAUCCACAUGGCAAACAGGGGUGAGAAGAGCUGAUCCUGGAAACCUGGGGCACUCCUGGUGCUGCACACUGCAGCAUUACUUGCUUAACCUGGUAUUCACUUGUGCCUUCAGCAUCACAUAAGCCAUUUAAAAAUAUGUCUAUUUUAACAACUUGCUAGGGAAAUAUGCUUGUGGUUGUGGUAGAAUAAACCACGUACUUUUGACA
ensembl:lncRNA